ACCCGCAAGGGAGCCAGCCGCCGAAGGUGGGGUAGAUGAUUGGGGUGAAGUCGUAACAAGGUAGCCGUAUCGGAAGGUGCGGCUGGAUCACCUCCUUUCUAUGGAGA
rnacentral:rRNA from 1 species